GCUCCUCUCCCUUUUGGCUCCUGCUUUGGGCUCCCCAAGUCUGUCUCUACCCCCUCACAGCACAGGACCCAGGCUUGGCCAGUGAGUCCGCAGGUGGGGGUGGGAGUGGUCAGUUCGUGGACCAAGGCCAAUAAGAGAUGGCUAUUCUAAUGGUGCCUAGCUGACUCCAGGGUCACUGUGGGCUGAUGUAGCUGCUCUUCUGCCUGACCCCUAACCCUGAAUGUGUUCGCGUGUUCGUCUUCCAUAAGCCUUUGGGCAAGGGGGAGCUUGACCCUACAUCUGCUGUCUGCCCCCAGCCCAACCCUCCUUUGAGGCCCAUUCUGUGACACAUCCUGUUUUUCAGCAAAUGGAGGGAACAGCCACAGUUAUUUCCCCGUGAAUGCAGGGCCCUGUGCGAGGGCCGAGGCUGACUUUGUCUUUGUCCUGGGCUGGAGAGUCUCACAGUUUGAUUGGAGAGAUAGAUCCAAACUCAGAUGCAGGCCCCAACAGCACUGUGGGGUGCCCGCCAUGGGGCUCCAGGCAGGAUCAGUACCCUGAGAACAAUAGUGAGGCUUGAAAAAUGAGCAGAUGUUGUUUUCCUACAGGCAAAAGGCGACAGGCACUCCUGCCUGGUAAAAGAAACUGCUUUUGCAAAGGCCCCGAGAAGGGAAGGGACUGGCAGGUGGAGGAGCUGAGGGAUGGAGGAGGAAGCAGGGCCAGAUCACGAAGGGCCUUAAAUGCCAGCUUGUGGAGUUUGGCUUUAUUCUGUGGGCAGUGGAGAACUAGAGAAAGGUUUUCAGCAGGAGAGUGACUCAGAAGUGCAUUUUAGAAAGAUGCCCCUGGAGAGCAGGGAUGUGAUUGCAAAGGGAGAGGGUGGGCAGGGAUUAUUCUAUGGGUGAUAUGUGAUGCUCACCCUGGGCUGGGCAAGGAGAGGAACUUAAGAGAUGCUGGGUUGGCAGAACGUGGUGACCAAUGAGACGGGGGAUGCAGAGGGAGGACUUGGAGGGGCUCUGGGAAGUGGGGUCUAUGCCACUCCAAGGCGAGCCAUGGGGGCUCUGCUCGGCAUCACCCUCACCCACAACAGGUAUUGGGUAGAGCCUCUGGCGGGGGGGAGCUCCCUGCAAAGGUGAGCAAGACAGCUGUCUGGGGUUCCCCAGGGAGGAGAGGUGGGAGGAAGGGAGGGAGGACAGAUGGGAGAAGGCUCUGCACAGAGCCUGAGGGCAGCCCUCACCAGGUUACAGAACACAAGGCUUGACCCCAUUGGCUUCCUGUAAGCAGUCCUGCUCUGCCAACUUAAUGGCUUCAUUUUGCAUGUUAUUUAAAUCUUGCAAUGAUUCCAGCAGACACUGUUAGUCUAUUCUGCUGUCAGGUUGCCUGAGGUUCAGAGAGGUUAAGUAAUGCACCAAGGUUAGGAUGUGAGCCCCACCUGUCUGAAUCCUCCCUCCCUCCCUGGGAUAGAGGAGGGAGACUCAGAAGGAUGAGUCUCCAUCUUCAGUCUUUACAAAACUAUUGUAGGGCGUUGGUAUGAUGAAAACAAAGU